rnacentral:rRNA from 1 species
UACCAGACUCCUACGGGAGGCAGCAGUGGGGAAUAUUGCGCAAUGGGGGAAACCCUGACGCAGCAACGCCGCGUGAGUGAAGAAGUAUCUCGGUAUGUAAAGCUCUACCAGCGGGGAAGAAGGAAGACGGUACCCGACUAAGAAGCCCCGGCUAACUACGUGCCAGCAGCCGCGGUAAUACGUAGGGGGCGAGCGUUAUCCGGAUUUACUGGGUGUAAAGGGAGCGUAGACGGCGGCGCAAGUCUGAAGUGAAAGCCCGUGGCUCAACCGCGGAACCGCUUUGGAAACUGCGAGGCUGGAGUGCUGGAGGGGCAGGCGGAAUUCCUGGUGUAGCGGUGAAAUGCGUAGAUAUCAGGAGGAACACCGGUGGCGAAGGCGGCCUGCUGGACUGCAACUGACGUUGAGGCCCGAAAGCGUGGGGAGCAAACAGGAUUAGAUACCCCAGUA